AAAUUGAAGAGUUUGAUCAUGGCUCAGAUUGAACGCUGGCGGCAGGCCUAACACAUGCAAGUCGAACGGUAACAGGAAGCAGCUUGCUGCUUCGCUGACGAGUGGCGGACGGGUGAGUAAUGUCUGGGAAACUGCCUGAUGGAGGGGGGUAACUACUGGAAACGGUGGCUAAUACCGCAUAACGUCGCAAGACCAAAGAGGGGGACCUUCGGGCCUCUUGCCAUCAGAUGUGCCCAGAUGGGAUUAGCU
rnacentral:rRNA from 3 species